ACGUAUUAUGAUUUAAAAAGCGCUACGAUUUUUCAAAAACUCUGCUGGCUAACCCACGGCACCUUAACUUUAUAAUAUGUACCUCUCCUCUAUCCUUUUUAGUAGGAGUACCUCCUGGAUAAUAUACCUCCUGAAUGUGCGACAUCUCGCUCAGGGUAAGGGGUUGGGAGCUACUAAAAAGGAACGGGUAUAAGGUAAAAAAGUGGCAACCCAGACGGAAAGCAAACGUCCUGAUGUCUCCAGACAACCGGCAUUUCUGCCGUAUGUAAAAGGGGUAACGGAUAAAGUUGGAACAGUACUUGGAAAGUACUCUAUAAAGACAGUUUACACCCCUUUAUCCAAAGUCGCAGGGAGCCUAAAGGUCGCCAAAGGACGUUAUUCCUUUUCAGUCACCUGGCGCUCAUAAAAUUGAUUGCGUAGGUCCUAAAUCGGCGAAACGAAGCGCACCAUAGCAGAAAGAGUUAAGGAACAUAUCACAGCUGUCAAAAAUUGUCAGGUGCAGUGCACAAGUCUGCUGUGGCUGAGCAUUUACGGGAGUUAGCACCAAACCCUGGAUCGAGCUGCAUAACCCUUAAAUCCUUUCCACGGAUCGCCAUUUCUACAACAGAAAAGUGUGGAAAGACAUUGAAUUAAAUAAAAAAUUGCAUAUUCAAUGGGGACGAGGGUUUGGGGAUCUCAUCCACAUGGAAUCCAGUCAUUAGUAAAUGUAAGGGAGAACGAAUAUCGACAGUCGAUAAAUCGAAUAUCGUUUGCGUUGUGUGUCGACAGAGUUCAAGUCAAUAAACAAGACCAAGUGCGGGUAGUUCGAAAAACUCGCGCGGCUAGAGGAUGUUGAUGUCAACUUUAGCCAGUCUUCUCCGAGACGACGGGGACCACACCGUCCUCGAAACGUCGGAGCCAGCAUCCUCGGCUCUGCGAGUUCGGGAUGCCUACCAGUGAGCCAGGCGAGCCACUCGCCCAGCAUGGUCGCGGCGAGCGGGCGCAGCAGUGGCGCCGCGCAAGCCCGUGCGCCCGUAGUGGCUGGCAGCGGAACUAACGCAUAGCCGCGCAGCGUGUCCCCACCUAUCAUGUUCUGUGCGCGGACUGUGAUCACCAGUUGUGGCCCUGUGUAUGGGAAUUUACGAGAAGUCAAAUUAUCAAUCAAAUAAAAUCGCAAAUGUGAUUAUUCUUUUAAUAACUAAUGGUUUAGUUUUCUAGUUUUAUACUUGAAUUUUAAACGCUACUUGCAUUUUGCUACAAGUUUAAGCAGCAAUUCAUACCUACUAAAUAGACUUAACAAAAUUUAAACUUCAGCGUUCUACAAGCCCAUUGUUUCCUUUACAAGAAAUGUAAUCCCAUAUAAUUAAAUAAAUAAAGAAUGUCAUGGA